UACGUAGGGUGCGAGCGUUUAAUCGGAAUUACUGGGCGUAAAGCGUGCGUAGGUGGUUCGUUAAGUCUGUCGUGAAAGCCCCGGGCUCAACCUGGGAAUGGCGAUGGAUACUGGCGGGCUAGAGUGCGGUAGAGGAGAGUGGAAUUCCCGGUGUAGCAGUGAAAUGCGUAGAGAUCGGGAGGAACAUCAGUUGCGAAGGCGGCUCUCUGGACCAGCACUGACACUGAGGCACGAAAGCGUGGGGAGCAAACAGG
rnacentral:rRNA from 1 species